GACGAACGCUGGCGGCGUGCUUAACACAUGCAAGUCGAACGGAAAGGCCCUGCUUUUGUGGGGUGCUCGAGUGGCGAACGGGUGAGUAACACGUGAGUAACCUGCCCUUGACUUUGGGAUAACUUCAGGAAACUGGGGCUAAUACCGGAUAGGAGCUCCUGCUGCAUGGUGGGGGUUGGAAAGUUUCGGCGGUUGGGGAUGGACUCGCGGCUUAUCAGCUUGUUGGUGGGGUAGUGGCUUACCAAGGCUUUGACGGGUAGCCGGCCUGAGAGGGGGACCGGCCACAUUGGGACUGAGAUACGGCCCAGACUCCUACGGGAGGCAGCAGUGGGGAAUAUGGCACAAUGGGCGGAAGCCGGAUGCAGCAACGCCGCGGGCGGGAUGACGGCCUUCGGGUUGUAAACCGCUUUCGCCUGUGACGAAGCGUGAGUGACGGUAAUGGGUAAAGAAGCACCGGCUAACUACGUG
rnacentral:rRNA from 1 species